AGCGCGAUCACAAUGGAUCUUGAAAGAGAGGAUCGUUGCUGGGCCUUCAGCGGAACCCCGUGUAGACAUCUUAAACCUUCGAUAUCAUGAUCU
rfam:Pteropus alecto contig98653, whole genome shotgun sequence.